AUUGAACGCUGGCGGCAUGCCUUACACAUGCAAGUCGAACGGUAACGGGUCCUUCGGGAUGCCGACGAGUGGCGAACGGGUGAGUAAUAUAUCGGAACGUGCCCAGUAGUGGGGGAUAACUGCUCGAAAGAGCAGCUAAUACCGCAUACGACCUGAGGGUGAAAGGGGGGGAUCGCAAGACCUCUCGCUAUUGGAGCGGCCGAUAUCAGAUUAGCUAGUUGGUGGGGUAAAGGCCUACCAAGGCAACGAUCUGUAGUUGGUCUGAGAGGACGACCAGCCACACUGGGACUGAGACACGGCCCAGACUCCUACGGGAGGCAGCAGUGGGGAAUCUUGGACAAUGGGCGCAAGCCUGAUCCAGCAAUGCCGCGUGCAGGAAGAAGGCCUUCGGGUUGUAAACUGCUUUUGUCAGGGAAGAAAUCUUCUGGGCUAAUACCCCGGGAGGAUGACGGUACCUGAAGAAUAAGCACCGGCUAACUACGUGCCAGCAGCCGCGGUAAUACGUAGGGUGCGAGCGUUAAUCGGAAUUACUGGGCGUAAAGCGUGCGCAGGCGGCUUUGCAAGACAGAUGUGAAAUCCCCGGGCUCAACCUGGGAACUGCAUUUGUGACUGCAAGGCUAGAGUACGGCAGAGGGGGAUGGAAUUCCGCGUGUAGCAGUGAAAUGCGUAGAUAUGCGGAGGAACACCAAUGGCGAAGGCAAUCCCCUGGGCCUGUACUGACGCUCAUGCACGAAAGCGUGGGGAGCAAACAGGAUUAGAUACCCUGGUAGUCCACGCCCUAAACGAUGUCAACUGGUUGUUGGACGGCUUGCUGUUCAGUAACGAAGCUAACGCGUGAAGUUGACCGCCUGGGGAGUACGGCCGCAAGGUUGAAACUCAAAGGCAUUGACGGGGACCCGCACAAGCGGUGGAUGAUGUGGUUUAAUUCGAUGCAACGCGAAAAACCUUACCUACCCUUGACAUGUCAAGAAUUCUGCAGAGAUGUGGAAGUGCUCGAAAGAGAACUUGAACACAGGUGCUGCAUGGCCGUCGUCAGCUCGUGUCGUGAGAUGUUGGGUUAAGUCCCGCAACGAGCGCAACCCUUGUCAUUAGUUGCUACGCAAGAGCACUCUAACGAGACUGCCGGUGACAAACCGGAGGAAGGUGGGGAUGACGUCAGGUCCUCAUGGCCCUUAUGGGUAGGGCUACACACGUCAUACAAUGGCCGGUACAGAGGGCUGCCAACCCGCGAGGGGGAGCCAAUCCCAGAAAACCGGUCGUAGUCCGGAUCGUAGUCUGCAACUCGACUGCGUGAAGUCGGAAUCGCUAGUAAUCGCGGAUCAGCUUGCCGCGGUGAAUACGUUCCCGGGUCU
rnacentral:rRNA from 1 species